CCUACGGGAGGCAGCAGUGGGGAAUAUUGGGCAAUGGGCGCAAGCCUGACCCAGCAACGCCGCGUGAAGGAAGACGGCUUUCGGGUUGUAAACUUCUUUUCUGGGGGACGAACAAAUGACGGUACCCCAGGAAUAAGCCACGGCUAACUACGUGCCAGCAGCCGCGGUAAUACGUAGGUGGCAAGCGUUAUCCGGAUUUAUUGGGUGUAAAGGGCGUGUAGGCGGGAAUGCAAGUCAGAUGUGAAAACUCAGGGCUCAACCCUGAGCCUGCAUUUGAAACUGUGUUUCUUGAGUGCUGAAGAGGCAGUCGGAAUUCGGGGUGUAGCGGUGAAAUGCGUAGAUAUUAGGAGGAACACCAGUGGCGAAGGCAGCUUACUGGACUGUAACUGACGUUGAGGCUCGAAAGCGUGGGGAGCAAACAGGAUUAGAUACCCCAGUAGUC
rnacentral:rRNA from 1 species